AAGACUGUGAUUUUCAAUUUCAAACAGCUGUUUGUCAAAUGUUACCCUGGUUGCUUCAAGUUCAAUAUACAUGACUUUAGUGUUAAGUAUGUUCAUGUGCCUAAACAAAACUUUAGGUAUGACUCUGGAAUUUUUGUGAUCCAGUACAUAAGAUGCUACAAUGGAGUUGAAGUACAACAAUUCUCAAAUGUUGACUUGCAAGCAAUCCGUGAAAAAGUGUCAUGCCAGCUAGUGAUAAACAAAUUCAAUGAGCAACAAGUGCCAAUAGCUCGAGAAUUCAUUGCGAAGCAUGCUCCGCAUCUUCUCCAUUGAUCAAGAAAGCAAAGUUUUUUCAACAGGACAUAUGAUGUAUUACAGUUAUAUCAUGAUCAAGGAACUUCUCAAUCCUGCUUCUUCCUUGGGAUUUUCGCCGCUGAGAGCUUCUUCUCUGAUUCGUCCCCCGAGUCCGGUCCUCCGCCUCGGCCUCCGCCCCUUCUUCGCUCGUGUUCUGUUUUCGUACACGAACUACUGGAUCUCUUACAAAAUGAGAUAUUACAUUCCAUGGUUGGAGAAUAUAGUCUUGUUACGAGACUUCCUUUUAUAAGUGGGAUUUAUUUUUACGCUUGUUUUUAAUUUGAAUUAUGCAAGACCUACAUGAAGUACAUACAAGAUGUUUUUAAUU